UUUCAACUAAAAAAAAGAACCUGAAACAAUCUUUAUUUUCUUCAAAAAAUCGAUUUUCAAGAUCAUGAGUUCGAACUCAGCACAGCAGAGUAUGAGCCAGCAGGAGACAGAGACCAAGGUGCAGGCUAUGCAAGAAAGGGACCAGUUGACGGACAAAGCUCUGUCGCAGCAUGCCCAGAAAUCAGCCUCUGAGGCUGUGGAGCAAGCCAAGGCUUCUGCAGACGGCACAACAGAAGCUGCUAAGAGCGCAACUGAGACGAACAAAUGAAAGCAAGAUAUCUACAGCCUACAUGCACUCUUCCGCGUUCUGACAUCCAUACAGCAAUUUUAUUUCGUCGUGCUAGGUUACUCGACUCUCUGAUUAGUCAUGUGUACAAAGUACAAGAUUGAACCGUGACGAAGUAUUGCUCCUGUAAUAUCAAUCAAAAUUUUGUUCCAUUGAUUUUAAUUUUGAUCUGCUGUCUAGAUAUAUAUU